rnacentral:rRNA from 1 species
AUUGAACGCUGGCGGUAGGCUUAACACAUGCAAGUCGAGCGGAGAUGAGGUGCUUGCACCUUAUCUUAGCGGCGGACGGGUGAGUAAUGCUUAGGAAUCUGCCUAUUAGUGGGGGACAACAUUCCGAAAGGAAUGCUAAUACCGCAUACGUCCUACGGGAGAAAGCAGGGGACCUUCGGGCCUUGCGCUAAUAGAUGAGCCUAAGUCGGAUUAGCUAGUUGGUGGGGUAAGGGCCUACCAAGGCGACGAUCUGUAGCGGGUCUGAGAGGAUGAUCCGCCACACUGGGACUGAGACACGGUCCAGACUCCUACGGGAGGCAGCAGUGGGGAAUAUUGGACAAUGGGCGCAAGCCUGAUCCAGCCAUGCCGCGUGUGUGAAGAAGGCCUUCGGGUUGUAAAGCACUUUCAGUAGGGAGGAAGGGUUAAGUGUUAAUAGUACUUAACUUUGACGUUACCUACAGAAGAAGCACCGGCUAACUCUGUGCCAGCCGCCGCCGUAACAC